UACAGAGGGUGCAAGCGUUAAUCGGAAUUACUGGGCGUAAAGCGUGCGUAGGCGGUUAUGUAAGUCAGAUGUGAAAGCCCCGGGCUUAACCUGGGAAUGGCAUUUGAAACUGCAUAGCUAGGGUGCGGAAGAGGGAAGCGGAAUUUCCGGUGUAGCGGUGAAAUGCGUAGAUAUCGGAAGGAACACCUGUGGCGAAAGCGGCGAACUGGACCAUAACUGACGCUGAGGCGCGAAAGCGAGGGGAGCAAACAGG
rnacentral:rRNA from 1 species